rnacentral:rRNA from 1 species
UACGUAGGGUGCGAGCGUUGUCCGGAAUUAUUGGGCGUAAAGAGCUUGUAGGUGGUUUGUCGCGUCUGCUGUGAAAAUCCGAGGCUCAACCUCGGACUUGCAGUGGGUACGGGCAGACUAGAGUGUGGGUAGGGGAGACUGGAAUUCCUGGUGUAGACGGUGGAAUGCGCAGAUAUCAGGAGGAACACCGAUGGCGAAGGCAGGUCUCUGGGCCACUACUGACGCUGGAGAA